rnacentral:rRNA from 1 species
GUGGGGAAUAUUGCACAAUGGGCGAAAGCCUGAUGCAGCAACGCCGCGUGAGUGAUGACGGCCUUCGGGUUGUAAAACUCUGUCUUCAGGGACGAUAAUGACGGUACCUGAGGAGGAAGCCACGGCUAACUACGUGCCAGCAGCCGCGGUAAUACGUAGGUGGCAAGCGUUGUCCGGAUUUACUGGGCGUAAAGGGAGCGUAGGCGGAUGUUUAAGUGGGAUGUGAAAUACUCGGGCUCAACUUGAGUGCUGCAUUCCAAACUGGAUAUCUAGAGUGCAGGAGAGGAAAGGAGAAUUCCUAGUGUAGCGGUGAAAUGCGUAGAGAUUAGGAAGAAUACCAGUGGCGAAGGCGCCUUUCUGGACUGUAACUGACGCUGAGGCUCGAAAGCGUGGGGAGCAAACAGGAUUAGAAACCCCAGUAGUCC